UACGAAGGGGGCUAGCGUUGCUCGGAAUCACUGGGCGUAAAGCGCACGUAGGCGGAUCUUUAAGUCAGGGGUGAAAUCCUGGAGCUCAACUCCAGAACUGCCUUUGAUACUGGGGAUCUCGAGUCCGGGAGAGGUGAGUGGAACUCCGAGUGUAGAGGUGAAAUUCGUAGAUAUUCGGAAGAACACCAGUGGCGAAGGCGGCUCACUGGCCCGGUACUGACGCUGAGGUGCGAAAGCGUGGGGAGCAACAGGAUUAAGA
rnacentral:rRNA from 1 species